rnacentral:lncRNA from 1 species
AAAAGGGACGAAGAAUAAAGGAAAGGAAUAAUAAUAAUAAUGAAAAGAUCCCACAUUAGUUGAAACAAAAUGGGUUUAUUAAUCUAAAGAUCGGGAUUUAAGUCUGGGCCCCAAGGGACAUGAACUACCUUAUGGUAUGUUUGGACAAUUCCCAACAAUGCUCGCCAUUAAAGCCAAGCCAAUUUGGCAUGAGUACGGGCUUGUGUUAAAAUAAAUCUUAAUUAUUAUGAGAAAUUUAUUUAAUAUUUUAACCAAUUGUCUAAUGAAUUCAAAUUCAAACUGGCCAUCCAGUCCAAACAUAACCCUCGGAUACCUGGAUGAAUGACCACAUCCAAGGCGAUACAUAGGGCCUUCUAGUUUAACAUUUCUCCACGCCAAUUUUUAGACGAAUGCUCCCUCAGUUUCGUGAAAAUAUUUCUCUUAUAUGUUACCCAAAAAUAUGGUUUCAAGUUCAGUUUUGCUAAUCAAGAAGUUCUGUUCAACGGUUCACAUAUGAUUGAAAUUAAACCCCGUUCUACUACAAAAGAGGGUAGCUAAAGAUUGUCUGUACAUGAGAGUAAAUUUGGCUUGCAGAAACAAAGUGAAGUCAUGGACUACUACAGAUAGAGCUAUAUUUAUCCAACCCAGGGACGGUACUAUGAGGACUAGGUACCUUAUUGGACGUAAACCAGCCUACUCCAAUCUUACAUGGAUAUGCAGGAAGGAGUGCUCCUAGAUGUGUAUGUACCACCUACUCGUGAGUUAUACAGCUCACGCCUCUUGUGAUGCCUUGUGUUCUGCACUGUAAUCUCCUCUACCCGACAACCCACCGAACCACUUCCCCUUAACCCCUAUCUUCUCUGUUUGUCUUGCAUAGUAGGGACAACAUGCCGAACAAGCCUUCAUACAGAAGUGGCAACAGCACCAUUACAAUGAAGUUAACAUCGCAAAUAUCAAUUUCCAUCAUAGAAGCAGAAAAUAAAUAAAAUGAUAAAUUCGUAACCUCAUCAGCAAUCAUGGCGAUGAGUGCUGAGCUGGUUGUGCGGAUCUCAACUCUGUUCGCCAUCAAAAAAAGAAAAAGAAAGAAAAACAACUGCAAAAGCCACCAAAAUAAAAAAAAA